rnacentral:rRNA from 1 species
GAGGGUGGCUAUAGCGGUGGGGAUCACCUCUUCCCAUUCCGAACAGAGAAGUUAAGCCCACCAGCGCAGAUGGUACUGGCCCACAAGCCGGGAGAGUAUGUCGCUGCCCUCCUUAUAAUUUGUAAAAACCCCGGUUCGUGCCGGGGUUUUUUGUUUA